GUAAAGCCAAUGAUUAGAGGCA
rnacentral:snRNA from 1 species